AUUGAACGCUGGCGGCAGGCUUAACACAUGCAAGUCGAGCGGGGUGAUGGUGCUUGCACUAUCACUUAGCGGCGGACGGGUGAGUGAUGCUUAGGAAUCUGCCUAUUAGUGGGGGACAACAUCUCGAAAGGGAUGCUAAUACCGCAUACGUCCUACGGGAGAAAUCAGGGGAUCACUUGUGACCUUGCGCUUAUAGAUGAGCCUAAGUCGGAUUAGCUAGUUGGUGGGGUAAAGGCCUACCAAGGCGACGAUCUGUAGCGGGUCUGAGAGGAUGAUCCGCCACACUGGGACUGAGGCACGGCCCAGACCCCUACGGGAGGCAGCAGUGGGGAAUAUUGGACAAUGGGGGGAACCCUGAUCCAGCCAUGCCGCGUGUGUGAAGAAGGCCUUAUGGUUGUAAAGCACUUUAAGCGAGGAGGAGGCUCUUUUGGUUAAUACCCAAGAUGAGUGGACGUUACUCGCAGAAUAAGCACCGGCUAACUCUGUGCCAGCAGCCGCCGUAA
rnacentral:rRNA from 1 species